rnacentral:rRNA from 1 species
CCCUUAGAUGUUCUGGGCCGCACGCGCGCUACACUGAUGCAUUCAACGAGCCUAUCCUUGACCGACAGGUCCGGGUAAUCUUUGAAUCUGCAUCGUGACGGGGAUAGAUUAUUGCAAUUAUUAAUCUUCAACGAGGAAUGCCUAGUAGGCGCAAGUCAUCAGCUUGCGUCGAUUACGUCCCUGCCCUUUGUAUACACCGCCCGUCGCUCCUACCGAUUGGGUGUGCUGGUGAAAUGUUCGGAUCGGCCGUUUGUCGCGGUUUCCGCGUCAUGUGGCUGAGAAGUUCAUUAAACCCUCCCACCUAGAGGAAGGAGAAGUCGUAACA